rnacentral:rRNA from 1 species
AUUGAACGCUAGCGGCAUGCUUAACACAUGCAAGUCGAACGAGUGGCGGACGGGUGAGUAAUAUAUCGGAACGUGCCCGAUAGAGGGGGAUAACUACUCGAAAGAGUGGCUAAUACCGCAUACUAUUGGAUCGACCGAUAUGGGAUUAGCUAGUUGGUGGGGUAAAGGCUCACCUAGGCAACGAUCCGUAGCUGGUUUGAGAGGAUGACCAGCCACACUGGGACUGAGACACGGCCCAGACUCCUACGGGAGGCAGCAGUGGGGAAUAUUGCACAAUGGGCGCAAGCCUGAUGCAGCCAUGCCGCGUGUAUGAAGAAGGCCCUAGGGUUGUAAAGUACUUUCAGUCGGGAGGCGUUACCGACAGAAGAAGCACCGGCUAACUCCGUGCCAGCAGCCGCGGUAAUUC